UGGGGAAUAUUGGACAAUGGGCGAAAGCCUGAUCCAGCCAUGCCGCGUGUGUGAAGAAGGUCUUCGGAUUGUAAAGCACUUUAAGUUGGGAGGAAGGGCAUUAACCUAAUACGUUAGUGUUUUGACGUUACCGACAGAAUAAGCACCGGCUAACUCUGUGCCAGCAGCCGCGGUAAUACAGAGGGUGCAAGCGUUCAUCGGAAUUACUGGGCGUAAAGCGCGCGUAGGGGGUUUGUUAAGUUGGAUGUGAAAGCCCCGGGCUCAACCUGGGAACUGCAUCCAAAACUGGCAAGCUAGAGUACGGUAGAGGGUGGUGGAAUUUCCUGUGUAGCGGUGAAAUGCGUAGAUAUAGGAAGGAACACCAGUGGCGAAGGCGACCACCUGGACUGAUACUGACACUGAGGUGCGAAAGCGUGGGGAGCAAACA
rnacentral:rRNA from 1 species